UUUAAACUACUGUUAAACAAAUAUAACGAUCAUCAAAAUAUCAAGAUAUACAAAUCAAGAGAUCAUGGGCACAAAUAAAACACUUAACAAAGAAUACAUGAGAUCACUUGUAAUAUUGAAAAUAUAGGGAAAAAGAAAACGAACCUUUAUUAGCUUGCAAAAUAUACAAAGAGAAGCACACUGAAGUAGCUAAAAGCGAGCAAACCCGCUAACAAAGACACGUCGAAACCUCAAUUCUGCCCGGAAACUUCGACGAAAAACUGCUACCUCGCCCAGUGGAGAUUUGACGAGAAGCUGGCUCAAACUAGAAACAUUUUUCUUUCCUUUGUAUAUAGUUUUCAACUUCAACUCAAAACAGAAUCAUUCGAGAGUUCUUUCCGGCGAGUUUGGGACGAACUGGGUAGUCGUUUGGUAUGUUCGCUGGUGGUUAACUGGUCGUUCGAGGGUGUUUACUAGCGAGGCUGUUCAGCUGGAACGAGGGCCUGAUCGUGACUGGAGUGUGUCACGGUGAAGAGGGGUUUGUUUGCUGGUCGUCGUUUGGGGCUCGUGGUUGACUGGGCAACGUGAGAGCUGAGGCAAAGCAACAACAAUGGUUGUUGCUACUGGUUGGCAACGCUGGUGGAAGGGGCGGCCGUGGUUGACGAAGGAGCAGCAACGGGCGGCGACUGUUCGCUGGGCAGUUGGGUUGACGAGGACGAUGACAAUCGUUUGGAGCUUGGUGAAGCUGGUGGUUAUGGAGGAGGAAGGGUGACGGGAUGCUUUGGGUGGUUAACGACGAAGCAGGUGGUUAUGGUCGUUUUGUUAGUGGACGACGUGGUGGGCUGGUCAUUUGACCAGGCGUGACUGGAAGAUAACGGUCAGUGGUGGUUUUGCUGUGAUGAGGGCUGUUUGCUGGAGUUUGGUCGACGGCUUGGUGUGGUCGACGGACAGGUGAAGGGUCGUUGGGUCGACUGGAGUGAGGGGUGACGGACAAUGGAGGUUCAGCUGAUUUUUCUCUCUUCUUCUUCAUAAAAGCCUU
rnacentral:lncRNA from 1 species